UUCCAAGGGAACCAGGCCUCAGCAUCAGGCCUGUUCUGCCCUGGCCUCAGAUUGCACCGCUACACCAGCAUGAUUCUACCCGAUCCUAUUAGUCACAAGGGAGCCACAGGCCAGCCUGGGUUCCCAGGGAUGGAGAGACUCCGCUUCUGCAUGGGGGAAUGACGCGGUCAUACUGCAGAAGAACACGAGUGUAGGAGGCAGUGUCGUGGCCAUUUUCGGUAAACACAACCUGCUGCUCACCCGCCUUGCCCAAGUCUACCUCUUCCAGAAACUUCUGUGUCCCAAUUAGGGUUCACCUUGAGGUCCUAAAGUGCGUUUCUCUUCUACAGCUCUCUUUUUGGGGAUGUCGCCAAUAAUCUAUAUUUCAACAAGAUGGAUAAAGCUGUGAAAAGGAUCGGAUUCUGCCCAGGACUUCAAGUAUGUGACCUCAGCAGAACUGACCAAUACAUUACUGGAGCAGAAUAAUCAGUCUUGAAAUAAACCCAUGGAUAAAGGAUGGAUUGUCCAAUAAAUGACAUUACGACAAUUAGGUAAGCAUUUGGGAAAACAAAUGAAGUUUUGUUACACCAUAUAUGUUAUGGAUUGAAUCGUGUCCUCCCAAAAGAUACGUUGAAGUUCUAACCCCUGGUACCAGUGCACGUGGCCUUUUUGGAAAUAGGGUCUCUGCAGUCGUAAUCAAGUUAAGAUGAGGUCUUUAGGAGGGCCCUAAUCCAAUAUGACUGACAUCUUUAUAAGAAGAGGAAAAGAGACACACACACACAAAGAGGAUGCCGUGUGAAGACAGAGGGGCCGAGGCUCAAGUGAUUCUUCUAUAAGUCAAAGAUUGCUGGUGACAUCAAAGUGAAGAGAAAGCGGUGGAACAGAUAGACGCUCCCUUGGAGCCCUUCAAGAAAGCACAGCCCUGCUGCCUCCUUGCAAACAGAACCAUGAAAGAAUACAUUUCUGCUGUUUUAAGUCA